AAUUUAAUUUUGAUCCACUAUAAUUAAAAUUUUUUAAUUGUUCAUUCAAAUUUGAUAUCUAAAAUAAAAUUUAAUUCAUGAUUUAAACUCAAAUUUUAAUUUUAAUGUAAAAUAGAUGGAUAGGAAUGCUUUUUUUAACAGAUUAAACAAAUUGAUUAUAACUGUUCGUAGGAUUGAAUUUAUAGAUGAAUAAAAAUAUUAUUUUCUAACAAAUUAAUUAUAACUGUUCAUUCUUAUUCAGAUAUUUUUUUAAUAAAUUGAUCAUAAGCGUUCGUAGGGAAUAAUUUAUUUAUUCCUUUUUUUAUUCUGUCUAUCAUGGUAAGAAUUUCUAUACUCUUUUAUACAUAGUAUAGAUUGAGUAAUCCAGUGAGCUAUUUAGACAAUUAAACAUUCGUAAACUACUUAAAAAUCUGAAAAUUUUGUUACUAUAUAUGACUAGUAGAUUUUUCAUAACAUGGAGAUUUUGGUUUUGAUAAAAAAAAUUUUUGAUUUUUUAUUUUACAGAUGUUCAAAUUUCAGUUAGCGUAUUUUUUUUUUAGAGUUAGGCUGGAAUACUAUCGAUAGUAAAAAAAAUUUUUUGCUAUCAAGUUUUUAAUUAUUGGAUGAGAAAUUAUAGGAUCAGAAUAAUAUUAGUCUCUUAGAGUUGAAAUGGUCCUCCUAUGAUUGAUUAGUUUUCACUGGAUUAUAAUAUUUGAUCCAUGGGUUAUAAUAUUUAACCGUUGGAUGAGAAAAGUUGUUUCAGUUAAUCUUUUCCAUCUUUACGUUAAGGCAUAUAAUUGUCUUUAACUUCUUUUAUUUGCUAGAUUAUUUAUAGUACAUUACUUUUCUUUUGUUAGCAAAAUCAUGAUGCUAUUAUUGUCUUAGUACAUGAGUUCCCUACCAUAUAUACAGCUAAUAAGCUACCUUAACUAUUACGCCAAGCGCAAAGGCUUAUCAUGUGGUCAUGUCAUAUAUAUACAGUGUACUGUAACCUCUAUUUAUGUAGACAUUUUCUGAUUAAUAAAAAUAUCCCAAAAUUUAUAUAUAUAUAUAUAUAUAUAUAUAUAUAUAUAUAUAUAUAUAUAUAUAGUUCGGCUGCUAUGCUAUUAAUAGCACGAAGCACUUAGUGCUACCAAGUUUUCCGCCGUUAGAUCUACCCUUUUGAUAAUUUUCACGCGUUAGAUCAUACUAUUCAACCAACCACCCACUCAACUCUAGAGGGCCCACAUCAUCCUAACCGUACAUCUCUUAAUCCAAUGGUCAAAAACUUGGUAGCACCAAUGACUUGGUGCUAUUAAUAGUAUAUUAGCCUAGUUCUAUAUAUAUAUAUUUGUGAUGAUCCCAUUCAUUAAUAAUAAUAACUUGUUGGUUCAAAUCACUAAUCCAAAAUGUUUAGAUUCAGACGUCUUUAUCGGAAAAGACUAUUAGACGAUGUGGGACUAUUACUAAACUAUUACUAGAGUGUGCAGCCUCAUAUAUACCCAAUCGUAACCGGAUUUCUCGUGCUUAGACUCCGCCGUUUUCGUCAAGAUCAUCAGGCGAUAUAAGACUCACCUCAUAUUUUCUGUUACUGAAACGACUCCGAUACCACUGUAACGACCUAGCCCGCUAUCAGCAAUAACUUAUUGGGUCCAAACUAUCUUCCCAAAAUACUUAAAUUCAAUUAUUAUUAUUAGAAUACGUGAUUUCUUAUAUUUUUUAUCAGAAUUAUUGUCAUUCAAUGUGGAAUUAUUGCAGUGU
rnacentral:lncRNA from 1 species